GAUGAACGCUAGCGGGAGGCUUAACACAUGCAAGUCGAGGGGCAGCACGUCCGAGUAAUCGGGAUGGUGGCGACCGGCGCACGGGUGAGUAACGCGUAUGUAACCUGUCCUUAACAGGAGGAUAACCCGGAGAAAUUCGGACUAAUACUGCAUAAAAUUAUAAAUAGGCAUCUAUUAAUAAUUAAAGCUACGGCGGUAAAGGAGGGGCAUGCGUAACAUUAGCUAGUUGGGAGGGUAACGGCCUACCAAGGCAAUGAUGUUUAGGGGACCUGAGAGGGUGACCCCCCACACUGGUACUGAGACACGGACCAGACUCCUACGGGAGGCAGCAGUGAGGAAUAUUGGUCAAUGGGCGGCAGCCUGAACCAGCCAUCCCGCGUGAAGGAAGAAUGCGCUAUGCGUUGUAAACUUCUUUUCAGGGGGAUAAAAUUUUGUAUGUAUACAGAACUGAAGGUACCCUGAGAAUAAGCAUCGGCUAACUCCGUG
rnacentral:rRNA from 1 species